rnacentral:lncRNA from 1 species
UUCCCAGACGGGAGGUGAGGAGGUCAGUCUGGACCUCUGGACAUUUGCAGCGCUAACUUGCAGACGUGUCAUGUGAAAGCAGUGUGAGCCUUUGAGUGUUUGACGGCGGUUUGUUUGUAUAUAUGCCGCAAAGCGCAAUUCAGAUCAUGAGAUUAGCUGUCAGGUCAUCUGCUGUGAAAUCCAUUAUGAAAAACACCCGGAAACUGAUGCUUGACUUGAAAUACUUAGUUUACUAAAUUGCAGAAAUUAUCUUUGGAAGGUUUUGUCAGAUAAAUACAUUUUUUUAAUGUAUCUAUAUUUAUAUCUCUAUAUCUAUCUACACGCGCACGCACACACACAUGCACACAUAUAUAUAUAAAAUAGUGUUUGCAGUAAUACCUCAUGCAAAGUGCUAGUUGAAUAAAUCUGUCACUGAAACUUCAAUUCCAGAUUACUACACUCCAAGAUCUGCUAUCAUAAAUGAAAACACAUCUUUAGAAAGUUCACAACGGUCUGAAGUAGAUGAGCUAUUGAAACGCAAUAGAAAAUCUACCCCUUACAGAUUAGUCAAACAAUGAAUGUAGUCCUGCAUGUAAACAUUGUCUAACUGUAUUGGCAGGGUAAAUGGUUCCUGAUUUACUACUGCAGGAAUAGGUAGCAUUUCCUAAGACUAUGAAUACUAAUAUAAAUGAUCUUGAGGGGGGAAAAAAGUAUUUUAAAUCUGUAAGCCUGGUCAAGCAAUUCAGAUGCUGAUAACAAAUCCAUCAAUUACCAAAUUAUUACACAUUUCCAAUAUUAUGAUUAGUCUCUGUGAGCAUCAAUAUACAAUUUGCUAGGAAGUAAAUCCUAAAUAGUUCUUGAAAUACUUUGAGAAAUAGUUUUAAUCUGUGGAUGUCCUGAAAAGCCACAGCCCUGAAUCAGGAGAUCAAAGAGGAACGAAACAGUCAGUUUUUUUAGGAUUUCAGUGAUGGCCUUUCUUGUUUGUUGUUGUUGCUACCUCUCUUUGUGUUUUCAAACUGCACACAGUCUUGUGUGCAUUAUGGAUUUAUGCAGUAAUAGCCAUAUUUACCUUUGCAGCCAUUUGAAUGUAGCAGCAAAGCAUAAGCUCCUGAAGGAGAAAAAGAUAAAAGAAGAAAAAAAAAAAGAGAGAAAGAAGCAGAGCAACACAGGUGGUAGUGAAGGCACACUUCUAGCUUCUUGUAGAUUACUGCCUUGCUGCAGCUGCUUGCCGUACCUGCAACGGAUGGUUUUGCCUUGGUCAGACAAUAAUUCAACCAGCACCAUCAGGCUGUGUCGUUGCACCUCCCCAUGAAAUCCACCCUAGGCCCACACCGCUUGGAACUCGUUUCUGGCAGUGAUACCUCCAAUCCCUUGAAGAUGGCAAGGCAGGCAGGGUGCUACGACAACUCCUGAUUAUUUUAAUUCCAGCCAUUGUACCAUUGCUUUAUGUUUCUUCUCUCUGUCUGUUUGUAUCAACUUAUUAGUUGGACUGUAAGCAAUCUGGGCAGGCACCGUCUUGUCUUUCUGCGAUGUACAGCACCUAGCACAACUGGACUCUGAGCCCAAACCAGAACCCUGAGGGUGAUACCACAAUACAGAGAAUAAUUAAAAAGCUGUGCUCUCUUCCCAGAUGAGACACACUCCUGUAGUGUGUAAAUCAGUCACAGUCCUGGAGGAAUAAUCCAGGCAGGAUAAUUGCACGGGGGAAAGGCCCCAGGCAUGAUAGGGGUUUGCAUUAGCAAUGCCUUUUCAUCCAUCUGUCUUUUGACUGGAGCUAUAGAAGGCCAAAAUCUGACUUAUAAGGAUGUUUUGAUCAACUGAUUAUUCCACUGACAGAGCUCCUGAAGUCCCCACCAUAUACAAAAUAUCUUAUUUGUGUGCAGGAACAACCAAGAGCCCGAGACGGAAAGGCUUCCUUCUUCAAAGAUUUAUCUCUUUAGGACUUACCCAGUUCCCUUAUUAUCCUGGAGAUUUUGGCCAUUGGCUUGAUCAGGGGAAAAAUUUCACCUUGAGUGUUUAUCCACCGAAUAUAGUGGAAGCAGGCACAGACCAAAGAAGAAUUUGGCUCAGAGCAGGCAUAAAUUGAUAGAGUCUAUUGGCGUAUUAUUGUUAUUUAUUAAUUCAGCUACAGAGGAACUCAAGAGCCCUAGUCACGGUCAGCACUUUAUUGUGCUGUUCAAAUGCGUUAGGAGACCUGUCCCACACCUCUAGUCAUGAUAUGUCGUUAGGGAGAGGUAACGGUGAUGAAGACCAUCAGUACCAAAAAGUAUCCCAAGAAUGAAUGUGAAAGCAAUGCAAGGGCAAAUAUACUUGUCUUGCAGUCAGAUUCUAUUGCACAAAUCAUAUCUAAGUUAUGUGCUAAUAACGACGACUAUGCUGUUAACGAGUUUAUCUUAAAGUUUAGAAAAGGCAUUUUGGUGUGGUACAGGAGAAGGAGUCUAUACUGAACUCCACCUAUGUAUUUUCUUUUUAAUAUCAUCUAAACUUUAUUGAAGACUAUCCACAGAACUAAAAAUUGUUGGUAUUAACACUCUAGGGCAUCCUAUGUACCGAAGUCUCAAUUUCUUAUCCUGAAUACGUGUUCUGGCUGACAAAUUUUGGGGUGUUAUUUUGCCUUCUAGAUAUUCAGAUGUUCCUUUCACAUCAGGGAAUUUAAUUAACAGCUUUUGCAUGUAUUUAAAGCAAAAUAAACUUUCCCUGAUCCUCCUGAUGGCGAGGAGC